rnacentral:rRNA from 1 species
GUGCCAGCAGCCGCGGUAAUACGGAGGGAGCAAGCGUUACUCGGAAUUAUUGGGCGUAAAGGGCGCGUAGGCGAUUUGAAAAGUCAACUGUGAAAGCCCAGGGCCUAACCCUGGAAGUGCAGUUGAUACUGUUGAAUUUGAGUUCCGGAGAGGAAGGCAGAAUUCCCGGUGUAGCGGUGAAAUGCGUAGAUAUCGGGAGGAAUACCAGCGGCGAAGGCGGCCUUCUGGACGGAUACUGACGCUGAGGCGCGAAAGCCAGGGGAGCAAACGGGAUUAGAAACCCCAGUAGUCC